AGAAUGAGAGCAGUGUUCAUAUUAUUGAUUUUGGAAUUUGCUAUGGUUUCCAGUGGCCAUGCCUAAUCAAAAAACUUUCAAUGAGACCUGGUGGUCCUGCAAAGCUUCGAAUUACGGGAAUUGAGCUUCCUCAGCCAGGAUUUAGGCCUGCAGAAAGGGCAGAGGAAACAGGAAGGCGUUUAGAGAACUACUGCAAGAAGUUCAAUGUACCAUUUGAAUACAACUGCAUUGCACAGAAAUGGGAAACUAUCCGGCUCGAGGAUCUAAAGAUAGACAGGAAUGAAAUAACUCUUGUUAGCUGUUUGUACAGACUGAAGAACCUUCCUGAUGAAACUGUGGCAUUGAAUUGUCCAAGAGAAGCUGUGUUGAAGCUGAUCAGGAAGAUUAAUCCAAAAGUCUUCUUCCAUGGAGUUGCCAAUGGAAGUUAUAACGCACCGUUUUUCCUGACUCGGUUUAAGGAAGCACUCUACCACUUCUCAUCGUUGUUUGAUAUGUUUGAGGCUAACGUGCCUUGCGAAGACCCGCAAAGGUUGAUGCUUGAGAGAGGGUUGUUUGGAAGGGAUGCUAUAAAUGUUAUAGCUUGUGAGGGUGCCGAGAGGGUCGAAAGGCCUGAGACCUACAAGCAAUGGCAGGUCAGGAACAAAAGAGCUGGGUUCAGGCAAAUCAGGUUUGAUUCUGAUUUAGUGAAUGAAACCAAAGCAAUGGUGAAGAAGGAAUACCAUAAAGAUUUUGUAGUUGAUGUCGAUGGUAAGUGGGUUUUGCAGGGAUGGAAAGGACGCAUUUUGAAUGCUUUAUCUGCUUGGGUUCCUGCCUAAGCAAAAUGUCCAAAAAGUGUUUUGAAUGGUUGACUGAAGUUUCAGAAGGGAUAGUGAACCAACACAUGCUAAUUUUGUAUUGAAAAAUGAAUUUGUUUUCAUUGGAAUUUAUUUUUAUGUUUAUAAUAUGAUCUGUUUUUGUUGUUGUCAAGUGUUAAAAAGAUGUAUGUAGAUUAGAGGACAAGUCUUACUAUUCCAUCAUGGAAUGGAAUCAUGGGACCAAUGAAUACAUUGAUCACAUUUUAAUACAUUUUCCCAUGAAUUCAAAACUGAAUUUAGUACUUCAAAUGAUUUAUAUAUUGAUAUAAUAACAGGUUUUGACGAAUGACUUGGGGAACAAGGGUGCACCUGCAUCUGAUUGACCACUUCAUAUUAUUUUGUUAUGAUACCAAUAGAAGAAAAGCCAAGUCAUCAAAGUGGGAUUAACAAAUUGGUUAGUGAAAAUGGACAUGUGUCAAUUGAUCCAACAAUUAAGGGAAAAAAGCUAAGAGAAAGUAUUCUUUGAACCCUCUAUAAAAGGAAGAAAUGAUGAGCAAGAAAAGUGUCUACAAAAAUGAUUGGAAUCACUCUCUUCUCUCUGUGAGCUCAGUGCUCUUCUGGUUGCUAUUAGUCUUGUACUUGGCUAUAGCAUUGUUAUCCUUCUUUUACCUUUCAUUUAUCAGUCCAACAAUUGUACCUCAUUGUACUGUUUUAAUCCAAGGUUAUUGAAUACAACUUGAGUAUUUCACAUUUUCAUCUUUGUUGAUUUACUGAGUUGUUACAUAUUUCAUAUAUUUUUAGAACAUGAAAAAUCAAACUCUAGAUCACACAGCACUUAUCACUAAUUCCUGUUUUAUAUAUUAUAGAAUAUCAUAUCAUGUAUUAUCACAAGAUAAGAUAAUAAGAAAGAGGGGUUGGCGGCUAUGAUACUCCUUCCUAGCAGCUUCCUCAGUACAAAGAAAGAAUCAUUUAUGAAUUCUAUAUUCUAAUUCUAUAUAACAAAGUUGUGACUCCAAGUCAUCAAACAAUUUUCCUCUUCAGAGUUGUUGGAUAGCAACUUUUCCUAGGUUUGUCCGAAGUUAUAUUCACUAGUGUCUACAAUAUUUUUACUCUAAUUCAUUCUUCUUUGUUCUAUUAUAUCAUCAUCAUUAUUAUCAUCCAAAAAUAGAGUCGUCUAUUUAGUUUUGUGAAUCUUGUUUCUUGCUGUUAUCAAAUAUAUCAAUCAACUAUGCUAUCUUUUCCUACUUCUGUUUUUGUUCUGUCUAUGGUUUAGUUGAUUCAUCAAAGUUUUCCUAAUCAGAUGAAUAUUUUUGGCUUCUGAGACACAAUCUUCCAAAACAUAUAUUGUAAGAGUCUGAGUUUUUUGUUUCAAUUUUGAUAUUAGCCUUGUUUCAAUAUGCUUUCUCCUAACACCUUUCUGCAAGAUUUUAGUGUUCCAAACUCAGUAAACCAAGUAACAAAUGGGUUUGAAUUAGAAGAUUCACCGUCUUCACCUUCUUCUUCUGGCACAAGCUCAAAUGGAGAAUCCUUGGAAACGACAAGAUAUUCCAAUAACAUUCUAAGAUACAUAAAUGACAUCCUCAUGGAUGAAGAAGAUGACCUGGAGCAAAAACCCUGCAUGUUGCAGGAAUGUUUAAGACUUCAGGCUGCUGAAAAGUCCUUCUAUGAUGUUCUUGGCCAUAACCAGCCUUCACCAAAUGAUAGCACUGACCCAGAUGGAAAUUUCGAUCACGAUGCUAGUUUUGAGAGAAAUGGCAGCAGCUACACCACUGAUAACUCAUAUGAAUCUAAUUGGGUCAACCAUGUCGUCGAAUUCGACUCUUCUUCCAUACAACUACAAACUCCUUUAAUAGAAAAAAACUACGAUGACUUGACAGAAGCUGAUCCAGUUGUCAUUGAGACACGAGGUGAUAAACAUUUUUGCAACGGAACUUGGAGUUGGAAUGACAUUCAGCCAGUGACGGUGAAAGAAGUUUCACCUUCAACAGUACCAGAAAAAAGAAGUCAUAAGAUGGAUAAUGAUAAUGGUACUUGUAAUGAACAAGAAGGAAGAGCUAGCAAGGUUUCAGCUAUUUUCUCUGAUGAAUUAGAGCCACCAGAGAUUUUAGAUGAGGUACUGCUUUAUCAGACAGGAAAGACUCUCACUCAACACCAACAAGCAUCUUAUAAUUAUGAUUCAGGAGGAAAGGAAAAGGAAACACAUUCGCUUUUGAAGAAAGCAUCUACUACGAAAAAUGUCGCGGCUGUGGAUUUGUGGACCAUGCUUAAUCAAUGUGCACAAGCUGUGGCGAGCUACGAUCAAAGGAAUACAGAUGAGCUACUCAAACAGAUUAGGCAACACUCUUCGCCUUUCGGCGAUGGACUCCAACGUUUAGCUCAUUACUUUGCUAAUGGUCUUGAGAUAAGAUUGGCUGCCGAGACGCCAUCAUAUCAGCCUCUUUAUGUGGCAACUGCUGGAGAUAUGUUGAAAGCUUACAAACUAUUUGUUACUGCGUCUCCUUUGCAGAGAAUGACAAAUGCUUUGCUAACCAAAACGAUUUUCAAAAUAGUGAAGAACGAGAGCAGCGUUCAUGUUAUUGAUUUUGGAAUUUGCUAUGGUUUCCAGUGGCCGUGCCUCGUCAGAAAACUAUCAUUAAGACCUGGUGGUCCUCCGAAGCUUCGAAUUACAGGAAUUGAGCUUCCUCAGCGAGGAUUUAGACCUGCAGAAAGGGUGGAGGAAACCGGACGGCGUCUAGCAAACUACUGCAAGAAGUUCAAUGUACCAUUUGAAUACAACUUCAUUGCACAGAAAUGGGAAACCAUCCGUCUCAAGGAUCUAAAGAUAGACAGGAAUGAAAUAACUCUUGUUAGCUGUUUGUACAGACUGAAGAACCUUCCUGAUGAAACUGUGGCAUUGAAUUGUCCAAGAGAAGCUGUGUUGAAGCUGAUCAGGAAGAUUAAUCCAAAAGUCUUCUUCCAUGGAGUUGCCAAUGGAAGUUAUAACGCACCGUUUUUCCUGACUCGGUUUAAGGAAGCACUCUACCACUUCUCAUCGUUGUUUGAUAUGUUUGAGGCUAAUGUGCCUCGUGAAGACACGCAGAGGUCAAUGCUUGAGAGAGGGUUGUUUGGAAGGGAUGCUAUAAAUGUUAUAGCUUGUGAGGGUGCCGAGAGGGUCGAAAGGCCUGAGACCUACAAGCAGUGGCAGGUCAGGAACAAGAGAGCUGGGUUCAAGCAAAUCAGGUUGGAUUCUGAUUUGGUGAAUGAAACCAAAGCAAUGGUGAAGAAGGAAUACCAUAAAGAUUUUGUAGUCGAUGUGGAUUGUAAAUGGGUUUUGAAGGGAUGGAAAGGACGUAUUUUGUAUGCUUUAUCUGCUUGGGUUCCUGCUUAAGCAAAAUGUCCAAAAGGUGUUUUGAAUGGUAGAUUGAAGUUUCAAAAGGAAUAGUGAACCAACACAUACUAAUUUUGUAUUGAAAAAUGAAUUUGUUUUCAUUGGAAUUUAUUUUUAUGUCUAUGAUAUGAUCUGUUGUUGUUGUCAAGUGUUAAAAAGAUGUAUGUAGAUUAGAGAACAAGUCUUAUUGUUCCAUCAUGGAAUGGAAACAUGGGACCAACAAAAACAUUGAUCACAUUUUAAUGCAUUCACAUUGAAUUCAAAACAGAAGUUAGUACUUCAAAUGAUUUAUAUAUUGAUAUAAUAAUAACAGGUUGUGACGAAUGACUUGGGGAACAAGGGAAAACCUGCAUCUGACUCUUGCACAUGUUUGACCACUUCAUAUUAUUUCAUAUAUUUCUAAAACAUGAAAAAUCAAAGACUAGAUCACCCAGCACUUAUCAAUCAAUCUGGUAUUAUUACGAUAUAAUAUCAUAUCAUAUAUCAUCAUAAGAUAAAAUAAUAAGAAAGAGGGAUUGGCGGCUAUGAUACUCCUUCCUAGCAUCUUCCUUAGUACAAAGAAAGAAUCAUUUAUGAAUUCUAUAUAACAAAGCUGUGACUCCAAUUCAUCAAACAAUGUUAGCUCCUCUUCAGUUGUUAGAUAGCAACUUUUCCUAGGUUUGUCCACGGUUAUAUUCACUAGUGUCUACAAUAUUUUUACUCUAAUUCAUUCUUCUUUGUUCUAUUCUAAAUAUCAAAAUCAUUAUUAUCAUCCAAAAUAGAGUCGGCUAUGUAGUUUUAUGAAUCUUAUUUUCUUGCUGUUAUCAAAUAUAUCAAUCAACUAUGCUAUCUUUUCCUGCUUCUGUUUUUGUUCUGUCUAUGUUUUAGUUGAUUCAUCAAAGUUUUCCUAAUCAGAUGAAUAUUCUUGGCUUCUCAGACACAAUCUUCCAAAACAUAUAUUGUAAGAGUCUGAAUUUUUUGUUUCAAUUUUGAUAUUAGCCUUGUUUCAAUAUGCUUUCUCCAAACACCUUUCUGCAAGAUUUUAGUGUUCCAAACUCAGUAAACCAAGUAACAAAUGGGUUUGAAUUAGAAGAUUCACCAUCUUCACCUUCUUCUUCUGGCACAAGCUCAAAUGGACAAUUCUUGGAACCGACAAGAUAUUCCAAUAACAUCCUAAGAUACAUAAAUGACAUCCUCAUGGAUGAAGAAGAUGACUUGGAGCAAAAACCUUGCAUGUUGCAGGAAUGUUUAAGACUUCAGGCUGCUGAAAAGUCCUUCUAUGAUGUUCUUGGCCAUAACCAGCCUUCACCGAAUGAUAGCACUGACCCAGAUGGAAAUUUCAAUUGCGCUGCUAGUUUUGAGAGAAAUGGCAGCAGCUGCAUCGCUGAUAACUCAUAUGAAUCUAACUGGGUCAAUCAUGUCGUCGAAUUCGAAUCUUUUCCCAUACAACUAAAAAGUCCUUUAAUAGAAAAAAACUACUAUGACUUGACAGAAGCUGAUCCAGUUGUCAUCGAGACACAAGGUGCUAACCAUUUUCACAACGGAACUUGGAGUUGGAAUGACAUUCAACCAGUGACGUUGGAAGAAGUUUUACCUUCAACAGUACCAGAAAAAAGAAGUCGUAAGAUGGAUAGAGAUAAUGAUACUUGUAAUGAACAAGAGGGAAGAGGUAGCAAGGUUUCAGCUAUUCUCUCUGAUGAAUUAGAGCCACCAGAGAUUUUAGAUGAGGUACUGCUUUAUCAGAAAGGAAAGACUCUCACUCAAUACCAACAAGCAUCACAUAAUGUUGAUUCAGGAGGAAAGGCAAAGGAAACACAUUCGCGUUUGAAGAAAGCAUCUACGACAAACAAUGCCGCGGCUGUGGAUUUGUGGACCAUGCUAAAUCAAUGUGCACAAGCUGUGGCGAGCUACGAUCAAAGGAAUACAGAUGAGCUACUCAAACAGAUUAGGCAUCACUCUUCGCCUUUCGGCGAUGGACUCCAACGUUUAGCUCAUUACUUUGCUAAUGGUCUUGAGAUAAGAUUGGCUGCUGAGACGCCAUCAUAUCAGCCUCUUGAUGUGGCAACUGCUGGAGAUAUGUUGAAAGCUUACAAACUAUUUGUUACCGCGUCUCCUUUGCAGAGAGUGACAAAUACUUUGCUAACCAAAACGAUUUUCAAAAUAGUGAAGAACGAGAGCAGCGUUCAUGUUAUUGAUUUUGGAAUUUGCUAUGGUUUCCAGUGGCCGUGCCUCGUCAGAAGACUAUCAUUAAGACCUGGUGGUCCUCCAAAGCUUCGAAUUACAGGAAUUGAGCUUCCUCAACCAGGAUUUAGACCUACAGAAAGGGUGGAGGAAACCGGACGGCGUCUAGCAAAAUACUGCAAGAAGUUCAAUGUACCAUUUGAAUACAACUUCAUUGCACAGAAAUGGGAAACCGUCUGUCUCGAGGAUCUAAAGAUAGACAGGAAUGAAAUAACUCUUGUUAGCUGUUUGUACAGACUGAAGAACCUUCCUGAUGAAACUGUGGCAUUGAAUUGUCCAAGAGAAGCUGUGUUGAAGCUGAUCAGGAAGAUUAAUCCAAAAGUCUUCUUCCAUGGAGUUGCCAAUGGAAGUUAUAGCGCACCGUUUUUCCCGACUCGGUUUAAGGAAGCACUCUAC
rnacentral:lncRNA from 1 species